rnacentral:rRNA from 1 species
GAUGAACGCUGGCGGCGUGCCUAAUACAUGCAAGUAGAACGCUGAAGGAGGAGCUUGCUCUUCUGGAUGAGUUGCGAACGGGUGAGUAACGCGUAGGUAACCUGCCUGGUAGCGGGGGAUAACUAUUGGAAACGAUAGCUAAUACCGCAUGACAACAGUUAUUGCAUGAUAACUGUUUAAAAGGGGCAACUGCUCCACUACCAGAUGGACCUGCGUUGUAUUAGCUAGUUGGUGAGGUAACGGCUCACCAAGGCGACGAUACAUAGCCGACCUGAGAGGGUGAUCGGCCCCACUGGGACGGAGACACGGCCCAGACUCCUCCGGGAGGCAGCAGUAGGGAAUCUUCGGCAAUGGACGGAAGUCUGACCGAGCAACGCCGCGUGAGUGAAGAAGGUUUUCGGAUCGUAAAGCUCUGUUGUAAGAGAAGAACGAGUGUGAGAGUGGAAAGUUCACACUGUGACGGUAUCUUACCAGAAAGGGACGGCUAACUACGUG